ACCCGCUGUCGCUACACAUGGACCUCGGAACUUAAGGACAGCCCUGAAUGGCCCUGUCCCAGGCUGGUGCUCAGGAGGGUCAUGGUAGCACCCACGCCCCUUUCCAAGCCUUGUGGUGUAAGUAGGAAAUUACACUGACAACAUAGAGAGGCCGUUAGCAUGCCUUCAAGGCAACAUACAAAACUUUUAUAGUCUGAAUAAUUUUGAUUAUAGAAAUGUGUUUAUGAAUUUGUCUUUUAUUUUAAUUUUCUUGAACUGACUUGUAUUCAUGAAUUUAUUUCAAAGAUGUGAAAACCAGAAAACCAUUUCUGCAGAGUUCAGAUUUUUGAAUUUGUGGUUUUUUCGGUCUCAGGUCCAAGAGGAACAGCACAGCCUCGUCAGGUCCAGGAGGAUGGACGGCCCUCCAGGUGUCUCCUCCCCCGAGCACAACCAGGUCCCUUACUCUGACUCUCCUCCUUUCUCUCCCUCUCUCUUUUCUCC